AGAGUUCGAUUAUGGCUCAGGACGAACGCUGGCGGCGUGCCUAACACAUGCAAGUCGAACGGGGCUAGGAAAGCUUGCUUUCCGAAGCCUAGUGGCGGACGGGUGAGUAACGCGUGAGUAACCUGCCUUUCAGAGGGGAAUAACGUUCUGAAAAGAACGCUAAUACCGCAUAACGUACAGUUACCGCAUGGUAGCAGUACCAAAGGAGCAAUCCGCUGAAAGAUGGACUCGCGUCCGAUUAGCUAGUUGGUGGGGUAAAGGCCUACCAAGGCGACGAUCGGUAGCCGGACUGAGAGGUUGAACGGCCACAUUGGGACUGAGACACGGCCCAG
rnacentral:rRNA from 1 species